rnacentral:rRNA from 1 species
UACGAAGGGGGCGAGCGUUGUUCGGAUUUACUGGGCGUAAAGGGCGCGCAGGCGGCCAUUUAAGUCAGGCGUGAAAGCCCCGGGCUCAACCUGGGAACUGCGCUUGGGACUGGAUGGCUCGAGUUCGGGAGAGGAGAGUGGAAUUCCCAGUGUAGAGGUGAAAUUCGUAGAUAUUGGGAAGAACACCGGUGGCGAAGGCGGCUCUCUGGACCGAAACUGACGCUGAGGCGCGAAAGCGUGGGGAGCAAACAG